rnacentral:rRNA from 1 species
UACAGAGGUCUCAAGCGUUGUUCGGAUUCAUUGGGCGUAAAGGGUGCGUAGGCGGCGCGUUAAGUCGGGUGUGAAAUCUCGGGGCUUAACUCCGAAACUGCAUUCGAUACUGCCGUGCUUGAGGACUGGAGAGGAGACUGGAAUUUACGGCGUAGCGGUGAAAUGCGUAGAUAUCGUAAGGAAGACCAGUGGCGAAGGCGGGUCUCUGGACAGUUCCUGACGCUGAGGCACGAAGGCCAGGGGAGCAAACGGG